rnacentral:rRNA from 1 species
UACGUAGGGUGCAAGCGUUCAUCGGAAUUACUGGGCGUAAAGCGUGCGCAGGCGGUUAUGUAAGACAGAUGUGAAAUCCCCGGGCUCAACCUGGGAACUGCAUCUGUGACUGCAUAGCUAGAGUACGGUAGAGGGGGAUGGAAUUCCGCGUGUAGCAGUGAAAUGCGUAGAUAUGCGGAGGAACACCGAUGGCGAAGGCAAUCCCCUGGGCCUGCACUGACGCUCAUGCACGAAAGCGUGGGGAGCAAACAGG